UGUCCUUUGAACUUUAGGCCUGUUGAUGUUUUACUCAGCAGUAAUCUCAGACUUGGUCAAAGCAGAACACAUAUUCUCUCUAGUGUCUCUUCAAGAAACAAAAAACCCUGAUCUUUUUCUUUGUUUUCAUCAUCAGUCCAAUUGUUCAAGUCAGAAAUCUAGAAUCCCAAAUCCUUGGCAUCUCCCUCUAUCCCUGUUAAGUUAUUCUCUAGUCCUGUCUCGUCUGUUUCCUAAGUAUUUCUUAUAUCUCUAAUUCUUUCC
rnacentral:lncRNA from 1 species